AUUGAACGCUGGCGGCAGGCCUAACACAUGCCAGUCGAGCGGAUGAAGGGAGCUUGCUCCUGGAUCCAGCGGCGGACGGGUGAGUAAUGCCUAGGAAUCUGCCUGGUAGUGGGGGAUAACGUCCGGAAACGGGCGCUAUACCGCAUACGUCCUGAGGGAGAAAGUGGGGGAUCUUCGGACCUCACGCUAUCAGAUGAGCCUAGGUCGGAUUAGCUAGUUGGUGGGGUAAAGGCCUACCAAGGCGACGAUCCGUAACUGGUCUGAGAGGAUGAUCAGUCACACUGGAACUGAGACACGGUCCAGACUCCUACGGGAGGCAGCAGUGGGGAAUAUUGGACAAUGGGCGAAAGCCUGAUCCAGCCAUGCCGCGUGUGUGAAGAAGGUCUUCGGAUUGUAAAGCACUUUAAGUUGGGAGGAAGGGCAGUAAGUUAAUACCUUGCUGUUUUGACGUUACCAACAGAAUAAGCACCGGCUAACUUCGUG
rnacentral:rRNA from 1 species